rnacentral:lncRNA from 1 species
CGAGCCAUCUGGGAGAUACUUGAUCAAAGAGAGUGAGCCGCUCUUAUUUUUAUAUCCCGAGUUCAACACAGUCUAUCUUGAGUGCUCAGAAGUACUCAAAGAACACAUCUGUGGGAUGAAAUAAGUGACCUAAGCUGAUUCAGCCUGCCUAACGUUGAAAAGGGGAUCAGGAACUUCAUCCGUACAUUGUCAAUAAGCACAGGGAGAAGGCGCUGCUGGAAAGACAGAGCCCACCGUCCUGCCAACGGCAAGUGCAGAGGCAAUUCCCUGUUGAGUUUUGCUUCUGCCUUAUGCUUCUUGGAAGCAGAGUGUGGUUGUUAAUACAUCAGAAAGACUGGGGACUGCAAAGAGGAAGAAGAGCUGGAGCACUACUCAGUAAAUACUUUAAAGUACCCCUGGGAUUGAAGAAGCAGAUUAAGAGGAGCCAUCAAGGAAAGAACAGUGGACCACUCCAGGAGUCAAAUAAG